UGAACUUAAGCAUAUCAAUAAGCGGAGGAAAAGAAACCAACAGGGAUUGCCUCAGUAACGGCGAGUGAAGCGGCAAGAGCUCAAAUUUGAAAUCUGGUACCUUCGGUGCCCGAGUUGUAAUUUGAAGGUAGUUUUCUGGUGCUGGCCCUUGUCUAUGUUCCUUGGAACAGGACGUCAUAGAGGGUGAGAAUCCCGUCUGAUGGGGUGUCCAGUGCUUUGUAGAUUUCUACCGAAGAGUCGAGUUGUUUGGGAAUGCAGCUCUAAGUGGGUGGUAAAUUCCAUCUAAAGCUAAAUACUGGCGAGAGACCGAUAGCGAACAAGUACAGUGAUGGAAAGAUGAAAAGAACUUUGAAAAGAGAGUGAAAAAGUACGUGAAAUUGUUGAAAGGGAAGGGUAUUGGAUCAGACUUGGUGUCUUGUGAUUAUCUUCCCUUCUUGGGUUGUGCACUCGCAUUUCACUGGGCCAGCAUCGGUUCGGAUGGCAGGAUAAUGGCUUGGGAACGUGGCACUCCUCGGAGUGUGUUAUAGCCCUUGUUGAUGCUGCCUAUCUGGACCGAGGACUGCGGCUUUUGCCUAGGAUGCUGGCGUAAUGAUUCAAUACCGCCCGUCUUGAAACACGGACCAAGGAGUCUAACGUCUAUGCGAGUGUUUGGGUGUAAAA
rnacentral:rRNA from 1 species